UACGUAGGGCGCAAGCGUUAUCCGGAAUUAUUGGGCGUAAAGAGCUCGUAGGCGGUUUGUCGCGUCUGCCGUGAAAGUCCGGGGCUCAACUCCGGAUCUGCGGUGGGUACGGGCAGACUAGAGUGAUGUAGGGGAGACUGGAAUUCCUGGUGUAGCGGUGAAAUGCGCAGAUAUCAGGAGGAACACCGGUGGCGAAGGCGGCUUCCUGGACACUAACUGACGCUGAGACGCGAAAGCGUGGGGAGCAAACAGG
rnacentral:rRNA from 1 species